UACAGAGGAUGCAAGCGUUAAUCGGAAUUACUGGGCGUAAAGCGUGCGUAGGUGGUUUGUUAAGUCAGGUGUGAAAUCCCCGGGCUCAACCUGGGAACUGCGCUUGAUACUGGCAGACUAGAGUGUGGUAGAGGGUAGUGGAAUUCCCGGUGUAGCGGUGAAAUGCGUAGAUAUCGGGAAGAACAUCAGUGGCGAAGGCGGCUACCUGGACCAACACUGACACUGAGGCACGAAAGCGUGGGGAGCAAACAGU
rnacentral:rRNA from 1 species